rnacentral:rRNA from 1 species
CCUACGGGUGGCAGCAGUCGAGAAUCAUUCACAAUGGGGGAAACCCUGAUGGUGCGACGCCGCGUGGGGGAAUGAAGGUCUUCGGAUUGUAAACCCCUGUCAUGUGGGAGCAAAUUAAAAAGAUAGUACCACAAGAGGAAGAGACGGCUAACUCUGUGCCAGCAGCCGCGGUAAUACAGAGGUCUCAAGCGUUGUUCGGAAUCACUGGGCGUAAAGCGUGCGUAGGCUGUUUCGUAAGUCGUGUGUGAAAGGCGCGGGCUCAACCCGCGGACGGCAGAUGAUACUGCGAGACUAGAGUAAGGGAGGGGGAACGGGAAUUCUCGGUGUAGCAGUGAAAUGCGUAGAUAUCGAGAGGAACACUCGUGGCGAAGGCGGGUUCCUGGACAUUAACUGACGCUGAGGCACGAAGGCCAGGGGAGCGAAAGGGAUUAGAUACCCGGGUAGUC